GCCUGGAAUUCUGAGUUGGAAUCUCCCAUCAAGUCAGAGGACAGUGAUUUCCAGUCCCUUCCUGACUGGGAUUCAAGCUUGGAUCUGGAUGUGAUGAGCUGGAGAAAUACUGAAGAGGAGGCCAUGGGGAGGCUAGAGGGGAGCAGCCAAGAGGCAGACCAGGAGAUGGAGCUGAGUGAGCCUCUCUGGAAGAAUGACAGUGAAGAUAACCACGAGGCAGAGAAGCCAUGUGAAAACGACAGUCUUCUCCAGUUCCUCUUGGAGGUAACCCAGAUGUUGGAAUCUUGCUGCAUUGGCGGCACAGAGUCAUCUCAGACUCCGUGGGAUUAUUGUGGCUCUGUGGGGAAGCAGAGUGAUGGGGAGGAAAUGAGGUGCCAGGAAAAGACCACGGGAACAGCAGGCUCAGGAGCAGAGGAAAGUCAACUGCGCAUCCUGGCAAAAGAUGAGGAAGAACUCUUCCUGGGAAGAGAGGUGAGUGGUGGUCCUGAAAGACCCUCUGGCCCUGGGUGAGAGAUGAGACAAUGAAGGAAACCAACUCUAGAAGAGAUGGGGGAGGCCCAGGUUCUGAGAGGGGAGACAAAACACACGAGGAACACAGAAAAAAUGUAUGAGGGAAGGGUGGUUUUUAUGUAUGGCUGUGUAUCUUUAUAAACAGGAAGCUUGUUACAGAUGAAACCCUCAGAUGUGAGUUGGAGGAAUUGCUCCUUGGCAGUGUAAAGGUGACUCAUGAGAGCUGGCAGGCUGCUCUCAGGUUUAAGGCAAGGUUGGAAUACUUGCCUGGUUCUAAUUGCUGUGUUUUGCAGCACAGCUUGGCUGGUUUCAGGCCCACAUGGCUGUGCCAGCAAUAACCAUCUGCCCCUGGGGACUGUCAUGUCUUAGAAGCAGGCACUGUCUAGCCUGGGUUUGCAUCAGUCCUGUGUUUGGGGGCUGUGGGCUCCCACCAGCCUGCUGGGUAUUCCUGGGAAAGCAGCACAGCACUGGAGGAACAGGGCUAUUUUUCCACAUUUGUUCUCUUGCAGACUCAGGACACUGGAGACAAAUAACCCCCAGGAUUUCACUGUUCAGCCAGGACAGUGUAUUCCCAGCAGUCACUCUGCUCUCUGCUGCUGUUACUCCCAGCAGCUCCCUCACUGUUCUCCCAGUGCUCACAGCCAAACACACAGUGUUCAGUUUCUUUCUGAGAAGUCUGCUCGUGCUUCAGAUCUGUUGAGGAUUCUGAGGUGCUCCUGCAUGAAAUCCCAC
ensembl:lncRNA